rnacentral:rRNA from 1 species
AUACGUAGGUGACAAGCGUUAUCCGGAUUUACUGGGCGUAAAGGGCGUGUAGGCGGUCUUGCAAGUCAGAAGUGAAAUUCCUGAGCUCAACUCGGGCGCUGCUUCUGAAACUGCAGGACUUGAGUGCUGGAGGGGAUAGCGGAAUUCCUAGUGGAGCGGUAAAAUGCGCAGAUAUUAGGAAGAACACCGGUGGCGAAGGCGGCUAUCUGGACAGUAACUGACUCUGAGGUGCGACAUCGUGGGGACCAAACAGGAUUAGUCCCCCGGGUAGCCCACGCCGUAAACGAUGAAUACUAGGUGUAGGGGGUAUCGACUCCCUCUGUGCCGCAGUUAACACAAUAAGUAUUCCGCCUGGGGAGUACGGUCGCAAGAUUGAAACUCAAAGGAAUUGACGUGG